UAGGGAUGACAGCUGAGAUGUAUAUAGAAGUAGGUGGGUUGGACGUUCAACAAAGUUCUUUAAGGGGAAAGAUAACUCCAAUGAUAAAUGCAUCCUUUUGCCUUUGUUCUGUCUUCCUUUCUGCAGCUUGAAGCAAUGGAUGUGAUGUUUGGCGCUUCAGUCCCCAUUUUGAUAUUGUGAAAUUCCCCUGAGAAUGCAAGCAAAUGUUGAGAAUGGUGCAACAGAAAGGAAGAACUCGGUCCCUGAUGUAUUUAUGGAGCUACAAUUUUAGUGACUUGCUGUUCUCUGCUUUUGCUUGCCUGGAUUUUGGUAUCUGUGUCAUCUUCAAGAUGGAUGAUCCCUGGUUUGAAUUUGUGAGUGCAAGUUCAUUCAGCAGUCUUUUCAUGUGUGGUGUUUCCAGAAAUGUUAAUGAAUGAGAUUAACUUCAUGCCACCUACUGCAAUAAAAACCCUUGUAGAUUAAAGCUAAAGUGCA
rnacentral:lncRNA from 13 species